rnacentral:lncRNA from 1 species
CAACAUUUUCACAUCGAUCGAUAUCUAAUCCGGUCAGAUGUAUCUUCCUUACUUGUUACAUUUCGUACUUAUGAAUUAUUCCAUCAUAACUCCGACUGAGUUACACUGGGAUAGUGUAAUUUAAGUCUGGGGGAGAUUUACUGAUAUAAUUUAUUUUAUUCUUAUAUAAAAGGAAUUUUAAUAAAUUAUGCUUAGCUAUUGAAAAUGGGACUAUGAUCUUAUAUUGAUUUAAACUUGAAUAUCUAACCAAUCUUUAGCACCAUUUUAGAUUUACUGAUUGCAGAUAGCCCUACAGAUGCUAAAGCAGAUCAACCUAUCAACUACACACUUGCCUUGACCGUAUGAAGUAACCAAAGCUGAUUUCCAACACUAAAUCUGACAUAACUGCUUGUCUUGGGGCUUGUUAUACAUGGGAUCAAAUUCUUCAGACAGGUCUGGAAGGUAACGCCUUGUGUAGAUUAUUUAUCACAUUUUUUCUCUCUAAAUUUUGACCCUAGAUUAGUUAGUGAUUUAUAUUUCAGUUCUAUCCAUUUCUUAAAAAAAAAUAAAAAAUAAAAUAAAAAUAAGAUCUAUUGCUUACUUAGGAUGAGUCUGAACAGGACUUGGUGGCUAAAACCAUUAAGGCUUGAUUCAUAAAGACUCCAAUAAAAGAGUUCGAAACGGGACUUGGAGGCGGCAAUCUUCAAGGCUCGCUUUCACAAAGAAUUUUUGGAUAUAGGUCAAAAAGAAGUGAACAGAGCUUCGUGGCUACCACCAUUAAGUUUUGAUUCAUGGAAGCAUGUCCAAUCUUGGUCACUGAUCCUGCAAUGGAAGCAGACUUUGACUCAAGAGAGAAAAUUAGAGAGAGAGAGAAAUUAGGAACUAAUUUUUACCUGCAGUUCCAGAUACUUGUCUGAAAUCCUUGCAUCCUAUGAUCGAUACUCCCA